UGAUUAUAGUUAAAAUUAUUUGCAUCUAUUUUAUAUCUACUCUGUAGAGGAAGUAGGGGCAUAGACAAGUGUUAAACAGAAGUUGGUAAAGGCAAAAUAUGCUUGUGAUUGUCGCGUUGCUUGUGUUGAGUGUGGCUGACUCCCAAUACCAAUAUUAUAACAAUGACAUCCCAAGCUACAUUAAACGAGCGUUAAAUGAAAAGAAUCGAUAUAAAAUAGCGCCAAAAGCAACGAGACACAUCACUAACCUGACUCUUCCGGAAGUAGUGGAGAAAAUUAAGCAGAUCACGCUGUCUUUAAAUCAACAUGCAAAGAAAAAUGGAUAUUUUGUUGAUUAUAACUUACGUAUAAUUGAUAAGGACUGAAUAUACUUACAAAAUUUGAA